rnacentral:rRNA from 1 species
GAUGAACGCUGGCGGCGUGCCUAACACAUGCAAGUCGAGCGAACGGACGAGAAGCUCGCUCUUCUGAGGUUAGCGGCGGACGGGCGAGUAAGACGUGGAUAACCUACUUAUAAUUCUGGGAGAACUUCGGGAAACAGGAGCUAAUACCGGAUAAUACUUUGAACCGCAUGGUUCAAGAGUGAAUGACGGUCUUGCUGUCACUUAUAGAUGGAUCCGCGCUGCAUUAGCUAGUUGGUAAGGUAACGGCUUACCAAGGCAACGAUGCAUAGCCGACCUGAGAGGGUGAUCGGCCCCACUGGAACUGAGAACCGGUCCAGACUCCUACGGGAGGCAGGAGUAGGGAAUCUUCCGACAUGGGCGGAAGCCUUGCGGAGCAAAGCCGCGGGAGUGGUAGAGGUCUUCGGAGCGGAAAACUCUGUUAUUAGGGAAAGACAAAUAGGUAAGUAACUGUGCGCUGCUUGACGGUACCUAAUCAGAUAAGCACGGCUAACUUCGUU